rnacentral:rRNA from 1 species
AUUGAACGCUGGCGGCAUGCUUUACACAUGCAAGUCGAACGGCAGCGCGGGGCAACCUGGCGGCGAGUGGCGAACGGGUGAGUAAUAUAUCGGAACGUACCCAAGAGUGGGGGAUAACGUAGCGAAAGUUACGCUAAUACCGCAUACGAUCCAAGGAUGAAAGCGGGGGAUCGCAAGACCUCGUGCUCCUGGAGCGGCCGAUAUCUGAUUAGCUAGUUGGUGAGGUAAAGGCUCACCAAGGCGACGAUCAGUAGCUGGUCUGAGAGGACGACCAGCCACACUGGAACUGAGACACGGUCCAGACUCCUACGGGAGGCAGCAGUGGGGAAUUUUGGACAAUGGGCGCAAGCCUGAUCCAGCAAUGCCGCGUGAGUGAAGAAGGCCUUCGGGUUGUAAAGCUCUUUUGUCAGGGAAGAAACGGUAGAGGCUAAUAUCCUUUGCUAAUGACGGUACCUGAAGAAUAAGCACCGGCUAACUACGUGCCAGCCGCCGCAGUAACAC